rnacentral:rRNA from 1 species
GACGUAGGGCGCGAGCGUUGUCCGGAUUUAUUGGGCGUAAAGAGCUCGUAGGCGGUUUGUCGCGUCGAAUGUGAAAACCCGGGGCUCAACCCCGGGCCUGCAUUCGAUACGGGCAGACUAGAGUUCGGUAGGGGAGUCUGGAAUUCCUGGUGUAGCGGUGAAAUGCGCAGAUAUCAGGAGGAACACCGGUGGCGAAGGCGGGACUCUGGGCCGAUACUGACGCUGAAGAGCGAAAGCGUGGGGAGCAAACAGG